rnacentral:lncRNA from 1 species
UUUAAGGUGACACUCCAACUCUCUAUUGUUCACAAGUCACAUGAAACAAAAUUGCCAUUCAUCUCAAACAAUCAACAUCUUUACAUGCAAAUGUCAUCAAAAGGAUUUUUCCAAGGCUUGUAAUGAGGUUGGGCUAACAAGAAAAAUUGGUUUUUCUGGAAAACAAAAUCCUUGAGUUAAGAGAGCUAUCAAAAUAUUUAACAAUUUAAGCACAACUCUCUUCCUCACCAAUCUCACUCAUUCCCCAAUUUUUCCUUUUUCUUUUACAUUGAGCUCACUUUCAUGCUUUUCUUCUUUUCUAUUCUUUUUCUCAUGAAUUUUUUUUUUCACAACAAUUGAGCUCAAUGCUUUUCAUUUACCUUUCAAUUUCCCCCAUACAACCCCAAACUUGAACCUUUUCAUAGUAUACAAUUAAGCUCGACCCAACUCAAGGUAAAGAAUUUCGAGACAAGGGUUCACAUCCUUUUUAGGCUAAGG